GUUUGAUUUUAAGCCACGCCGGGCGCCGAAAAGCCCCCCAGGAUUUCCGCCCAUGCCUGCAACCAUAGGAGUUCUAAUACGGUCGCUGCACUUCCUCUCUCACUUCCAUUCAGGGACAUAAACAGCCCUUCCAGAUUUCCCUAAAAAUAUGCCUCAAAAAUAGUAGAAGGUUAUACAUACUUCAUGCAAGGAAUGACAGAUGCAAGGUGUGCAAAUUUGAUGGAUUAGAAGAAUCAGGAAGAGCUCAUCAGGAGCAAAACUCAGAAGUUUCAGAGCCACAAUGAUGCAACCAUGAGUAAAGUGUACCUGACCACCUUCUAGCAUUGGGAAUGUUUCAAGAUGAUAUUAAAGUGAAAGGAGAAAACACAAGAGCCUCAUUCUUAAAAAUAAGAUGCAUGAAAAUUCUUACAGAACUUGUUCUUGCUAAACUUGUUGUUUUGCCAAACGUGAACUUCUCUAGACACAAGAAUACAUGUUAAAACAUUCCACAGUGACACUGAACAUGUGGACCAUUUAAUAAAUUACUUUGCACGGUAUUGAUCUCAUAUGAAAUACAAAUGAUGUUGAAGUUUGCAAUUAAAACUUUAAAUUGGCCUAAA